rnacentral:lncRNA from 1 species
UUUCUUAAUUAAUUUUUGAUGAUGUGUGACAGUGUGAGUUUGGUAUGUGUCGUAAAAUAUAGUAGAAUGUGAUGUGUGCAUUUAUUUCUAUAAAAUAUUAUCCAUAUUUGAUUGAACCAAAAUUCUUUUUUUUUUUUAUCAUGCUUUACUUAAAAGAAGUUUGGGACUGUACUUUGUUAAUCCUAUCUAUCUAAUGCUAAUUUAUU